AAAAUUUUAAUUUUGUUAAGAUGCCAAUACAACCUACAGAGGUGAACAAAUUCAGUACAAUCUCUAUAAAAAUCUCAAUAGCACAGUUAUUACAGAAAUAUUCUUUAAAAUUUUUAAAUGUGAUUGUGAACUAUAACUAACCAAACACCCAUGAAAAGAACAAACAGGCAUUAUACUUCCCGAUUUUAAAACAUUAAAAGCUACAAUAACAAAAACAGUAUGGUACUGAUACAAAGACAGAUAAACAGAUGAAAGAGCAGAAUAGAGAGUUCAGAAAUGAACCCUUGUGUAUAUGAUUAAAUGAUCUUCCACAAAGCUGCCAUGAACACACCAUAGAGAAAAGAUAAUCAUUUCAAAAAAUGUUAAGAACUAAAUGUCAACACUGAUAAAGUUGGAUCAUUUCCUUGAACCGUAUAUAAAAAAUGUUUUCAAUAAAAUACUUACAUAAAAAAACUAACGAAUCUCUUAGAACAAAAUAGAAAAAAGUCAUGACAUGGGUCUUGGCACCAUUUUCUUAGAUACAACAUUAAAUGCAUGAGCAACAACAGAAAAACAGAAAAAUUUAACUACACGCUACUUCAAAAUUUAUCCACAUUAGAAAAAAAAAACAUUCAACUGUGUAAAAAUGCCUCAUGACAUUGGUCUUGGCACCAUUUUCUU
rnacentral:lncRNA from 1 species